rnacentral:snRNA from 1 species
UGUAGUAUCUGUUCUUAUCAGUGUGACAACUGAUAUGUCUCCAACUGGAGAC